rnacentral:misc_RNA from 1 species
UUGAAUGAACUUGGCGUGGUUGUCGCUGGCCCUCUCGGGGGUAUGUGCACGCCCGUCAUCUUUAUCUUUCCACCUGUGCACACUUUGUAGACUUGAAUAGUAUUUCUGAGGAAACUCAGUCGGGAGGAUUGCUGGUAUUUAUCAGCUCUCCUUGCAUUAUUCAAGCCUAUGUUUUUCAUAUACCCCAAAAAUGUAACAGAAUGUAUCAUUGGGCCUUGUGCCUAUAAACUAUAUA